rnacentral:rRNA from 1 species
UAAGCAAGAUGUGAAAGCGUACGGCUCAACCGUAUAUACAUAUUUUGAACUGGGUAGCUAGAGCGCGAGAGAGGUUAUUGGAAUUUCUAGUGUAGGAGUGAAAUCCGUAGAUAUUAGAAGGAACACCGAUGGCGUAGGCAGAUAACUGGCUCGCUGCUGACACUCAGACACGAAAGCGUGGGUAGCAAACGGGAUUAGAUACCCCGGUAGUCCCACGCCCUAAACGAUGGAUGCUA